UACGUAGGGUGCAAGCGUUGUCCGGAAUUAUUGGGCGUAAAGAGCUCGUAGGCGGUCUGUCGCGCCUGCUGUGAAAACUCAGGGCUUAACCCUGAGCUUGCAGUGGGUACGGGCAGACUAGAGUGCGGUAGGGGAGACUGGAAUUCCUGGUGUAGCGGUGAAAUGCGCAGAUAUCAGGAGGAACACCGGUGGCGAAGGCGGGUCUCUGGGCCGUAACUGACGCUGAGGAGCGAAAGCAUGGGGAGCGAACAGG
rnacentral:rRNA from 1 species